AUGGAACGCUGGCGGCAGGCCUAAAACAUGCAAGUCGAACGAGUGGCGGACAGGUGAGUAAGGUCUGGGAAACUGCCCGAUGGAGGGGGAUAAAUACCGGAAACGGUAGCUAAUACCGCAUACCAUCGGAUGUGCCCAGAUGGGAUUAGCUAGUAGGUGGGGUAAUGGCUCACCUAGGCGACGAUCCCUAGCUGGUCUGCGAGGAUGACCAGCCACACUGGAACUGAGACACGGUCCAGACUCCUACGGGAGGCAGCAGUGGGGAAGAUUGGACAAUGGGCGCAAGCCUGAUGCAGCCAUGCCGCGUGUAUGAAGAAGGCCUUCGGGGUGUAAAGUACUUUCAGCGAGGAGGCGUUACUCGCAGAAGAAGCACCGGCUAACUCCGUGCCAGCAGCCGCGGUAAUUC
rnacentral:rRNA from 1 species